UACGGAGGGGGCUAGCGUUGUUCGGAAUCACUGGGCGUAAAGCGCACGUAGGCGGAUUGUUAAGUCAGGGGUGAAAUCCUGGAGCUCAACUCCAGAACUGCCUUUGAUACUGACGGUCUUGAGUUCGGGAGAGGUGAGUGGAACUGCGAGUGUAGAGGUGAAAUUCGUAGAUAUUCGCAAGAACACCAGUGGCGAAGGCGGCUCACUGGCCCGAUACUGACGCUGAGGUGCGAAAGCGUGGGGAGCAAACAGG
rnacentral:rRNA from 1 species